GACGAACGCUGGCGGCGUGCUUAACACAUGCAAGUCGAGCGGUAAGGCCCUUUCGGGGGUACACGAGCGGCGAACGGGUGAGUAACACGUGGGUGACCUGCCCUUAGCUCUGGGAUAAGCCUGGGAAACUGGGUCUAAUACCGGAUAUGACUCCAUGACGCAUGUUGUGGGGUGGAAAGCCUUGUGCGGCUAGGGAUGGGCCCGCGGCCUAUCAGCUUGUUGGUGGGGUGAGG
rnacentral:rRNA from 1 species